GACGAACGCUGGCGGCGUGCCUAAUACAUGCAAGUCGAACGCAUUUUCUUUCACCGUAGCUUGCUACACCGAAAGAAAAUGAGUGGCGAACGGGUGAGUAACACGUGGGUAACCUGCCCAUCAGCGGGGGAUAACACUUGGAAACAGGUGCUAAUACCGCAUAAUUCCAUUUACCGCAUGGCAAAUGGAUGAAAGGCGCUUUUGCGUCACUGAUGGAUGGACCCGCGGUGCAUUAGCUAGUUGGUGGGGUAACGCCUACCAAGGCUGCGAUGCAUAGCCGAGUUGAGAGACUGAUCGGCCACGAUUGGGACUGAGACACGGCCCAA
rnacentral:rRNA from 1 species